CGCCUCUUCCGCUCUCUCUUUCUAGGUCUACCGGAAGGCAACAGGGCGACCCUGACUGCCUUAGAAGAUGCGGAAGAGCGAUUCCCACCCCGCCUAGGGCGGCGAGCGCUGACCCUGGAGCCCGGGAUACCAGCCUGGUGGGCAGGAGUCGCACCGGAGAGCCUGGGCCGGUCCGGACACAGCAGGGGACGAAGCUGCCUUCCUUUCCCUGGGGAAGACUUCAUAAAGGACUGAGCGAGGAGCAGGAUUAAAAAUAAUUUAUUCUCUGUUUAUUACUAUGACUCUCACUUUCCCUUGUGUUCUCCCACCCUCAGAAAAAAUCGCUCCAUUGAAAAGUGGGGGGGGGGGCUUUUAUUUUCGCCUUUACUACAACAUGUUCCAAGAA